rnacentral:sRNA from 1 species
CUGUAGUCCCAGCUACUUGGGAGGUUGAGGCAGAAGAAUUGCUUGAACCCAGGAGGCAGAGGUUGUAGUGAGCCAAGAUCGCACCACUGCACUGCAGCCUGGGUGACAGAGCGAGACUUUGUCUCCAAAAAGAAAAUCUGCCAGGUACGGUGGUGUACUCCUGUAGUCCCAGCUACUCAGGAGGCUGAGGCAGGAGGAUUGCUUGAGCUCCGGAGUUGGAGGCUGCAAUAAGCUAUAAUUGUGCCACUGCCCUCCAGUCUGGGUGACAGAGCAAGACCCUAUCUCUAAAAAAAACCCUCAAAACUAUGCAGUGGCGUAUGUCACCUUCAUCCCCUGGGAGAAUCAGCGCCCUGCCCAGGUCUUUGCCCUUGGAUGGGACAGAAGCUCACGUGUUCCCAAUCCUCUUCCUCCCUUCCCUGCCGGCUGACCCCAGCGCUGGAGAGCAAGUGUAAGUCGGGCGAGAAGAAGAUGGACGCCCUCCUGAAGGAGAAGCGGCGCCUGGAGGCCGAGCUGGAGACCGUGUCCCGGAAGACCCACGAUGCCUCGGGCCAGCUAGUCCUCAUCAGCCAGGAGUUGCUGCGGAAGGAGCGGAGCUUGAACGAACUGCGGGUGUUGCUGCUGGAGGCCAAUCGUCACUCCCCAGGGCCAGAGAGGGACCUGAGCCGCGAGGUACACAAAGCUGAGUGGCGG